UGACACUGAGGGAGAACUAGUGAUGAUUUAUAAGUUUGGGGAAGGAAGUGUGCAUGAGCAUUCUGGGUGCAAUGUGUAGAAUGAAUUGGAAAGGAGCAGACAUGGAUGGGGCGGGGACAGUCGGAAGUGCACUGCAUCAGUCCAGGCAUGAACAAGAGCAGCUUUGUCUAAAGCACUAGAUGAUGGCAAUGGGCACGGACACCCACUACCGGACUGUAGAGUUUUAGGAAACACAAGCCACAGAAUUUGGUGGUGAUGGGAACAGGGGCAGCAGAAUUUCCAAAUCUGACCCCUCGAUUCCUGGUUCUGUUUCUGCACAGAUGCACGGACAUAGUGUCAAUGAAUGAGAAAGGACACAGUGAACUCAGACCUGGCUGAAGAGUGCAGUCAUGGGUUCUGCUGGGGAAGCAGCAUCACAACACAUCACAACAGCUCAUUGCUCUAGAGUCAGACUGCCUGGCCUCCAAUCCUGUAUCCAUUCCCGACAGUCGGUGUGACCUGAAACUCUCCAAGCUUAAUUUCCUUAACAAUUCCCACCCCCCAACCUCAGAGUUGACAUGAAGAUCUGAGACCAUGGACACGAAGCCAUGAGCAUAGUGCCUGGCACACAGUAAUAACUCAACACAGGCCAAGACUUUGUAAGCUGCGUGGCAUAAGCAGCAAUUGAAGGAGUCGUCACUCCCUCUCUCCAAGUUUCUUCAGGUUCAGUGAGCUGUGCCCACCCCUAAUGGUAGCUGAGGAAGGCAUGAGAACACUAAGCCCUGGGCCUCUGGUGAGAGGCAGACACAUAGCUCAGGGGCGGUUGCUUCUCCAGCAUGAGCAUGACGGUUAAACACCAGCAAAUCACUGUCCA
rnacentral:lncRNA from 1 species